GAUGAACGCUGGCGGCGUGCCUAAUACAUGCAAGUCGAGCGAAUGGAUUAAGAGCUUGCUCUUAUGAAGUUAGCGGCGGACGGGUGAGUAACACGUGGGUAACCUGCCCAUAAGACUGGGAUAACUCCGGGAAACCGGGGCUAAUACCGGAUAACAUUUUGAACCGCAUGGUUCGAAAUUGAAAGGCGGCUUCGGCUGUCACUUAUGGAUGGACCCGCGUCGCAUUAGCUCGUUGGUGAGGUAACGGCUCACCAAGGCAACGAUGCGUAGCCGACCUGAGAGGGUGAUCGGCCACAAUGGGACUGGGACACGGCCCAGACUCCUACGGGAGGCAGCAGUAGGGAAUCUUCCGCAAUGGACGAAAGUCUGACGGAGCAACGCCGCGUGAGUGAUGAAGGUUUUCGGGUCGUAAAACUCUGUUGUUAGGGAAGAACAAGUGCUAGUUGAAUAAGCUGGCACCUUGACGGUACCUAACCAGAAAGCCACGGCUAACUACGUGCCAGCCGCCGCAGUAA
rnacentral:rRNA from 1 species